GAAGUUAUGGUCAAUUUUAAGUUUGAUAUAUAUAUAUAUAUGGUUAUACGAAAAGCGACCAAAACGCGGGCGGAGCCGCGGGCAACAGCUAGUUCUUAAUAUGCAAAAAACUAGCUUCCAAUAAUAUAUACGCUACAAUAGAUAAAAUGUUCUAAGUCUUAUUUUUAACAGAUCAGAAGUAUAUUGGGUAAAUACAGAUAAUAUACAAUGUAUUUAUUUACAAAAUUGUUUAUACAAAUAAAUAUAUAUCAAUUAUUAAGUAAGUAACAUGGGUUCAUAUGAUAUUCAUUAAAUAAUGAUAACUACAAGACCAAAUUUUAAGCACAGACACUAGCCAAUUAAGCAAAACUGUGUUUUUUAGUACAUUACGUAAUUAUAUCACAUCUCGCCGCGGUCAUAACAAACAAUUACAUAUCAAAUACGCCUUGUGAGAUGCUUAAAACACAAUACAUUACUCUAAUGUUCUGUAUAGCAAGCACCUUAAGUUGAAUUUAAAUGCAUAAAAACAAACUCCUUCAGUUAUUUUAAUUCGUCACUAACUUAUUAGUUAUUCAUUCUCUGACUUAUCAUUCCCUCUUCUAAAGCACUGUACCUGAAUGAGUUUACUGGACAACACAGAUCGGAUCUCACUGAAUGUUUUGUCUUUAGUUUCAGGUAAAAAUAAAGUUAUUAAAAAUAUGACAAUUAAACACAUGAAGCUGAAGAAUAAGAAGGUAGCAGACGGUCCAAGUGCUGACGUCAUCAGUUUAAAAUAUUUAGAUGUCAGAAAUGAAUGAAAACCCAAAAGUUCGAGCUCGCUCGUCGAAUAAUUCAGUUGUGGCAACGAAGAUUUGAUUGCCAACACCUUAAUAGAAACAUAUCGAUAAAAUGCAACAAGAAGCCACUAAAAUAGACGAUCAAAUAGUGUUCUAGCAGAAAAAUAAAAUAAGAGAUAUAUUGAAAAAAGAUUCGCUACUGUUGAAGACAAUAAAGUUGUUUAUACAUUCAUUAACAUAAUUGAAUUAAAUUAAUUAAGAUAAAA